rnacentral:rRNA from 1 species
GAUGAACGCUGGCGGCGUGCCUAAUACAUGCAAGUCGAGCGAACAGACGAGGAGCUUGCUCCUCUGACGUUAGCGGCGGACGGGUGAGUAACACGUGGAUAACCUACCUAUAAGACUGGGAUAACUUCGGGAAACCGGAGCUAAUACCGGAUAACAUAUUGAACCGCAUGGUUCAAUAGUGAAAGACGGUCUUGCUGUCACUUAUAGAUGGAUCCGCGCCGCAUUAGCUAGUUGGUAAGGUAACGGCUUACCAAGGCAACGAUGCGUAGCCGACCUGAGAGGGUGUUCGCCCCCACUGGACCUGGGAACCGGUCCAGAUCCCUACGGGAGGCAGCGGUGGGGAAUCUUCCGCAUUGGGCGAAAGCCUACGGGAGCAACGCCGCGUAGUUGAUGAAGGUCUUCGAUUCGUAAAACUCUGUAAUUGGGAAAGAACAAAGGGGUAAGUAACUAGGCCCGUCUUGACGGUACCAAUUCAGAAAGCCACGGCUACCUACGU